rnacentral:rRNA from 1 species
UGAGCAAUCUGCCCUUCUCAUCGGAAUAAGCGUUGGAAACGACGUCUAAUGCCGAAUACGACCUCCUUUCACAUGAUCGGAGGUGGAAAGCUCCGGCGGAGAAGGAUGAGCUCGCGGCCUAUCAGCUAGUUGGUGUGGGUAACGGCUCACCAAGGCGACGACGGGUAGCCGGCCUGAGAGGGUGACCGGCCACACUGGGACUGAGACACGGCCCAGACUCCUACGGGAGCAG